rnacentral:rRNA from 1 species
AACGAACGCUGGCGGCAGGCCUAACACGUGCAAGUCGAGCGAGGACUUCGGUUCUAGCGGCGGACGGGUGAGUAACGCGUGGGAAGGUGCCCUUCUCUACGGAAUAGUCCUGGGAAACUGGGAGUAAUACCGUAUACGCCCUAUUGGGGAAAGAUUUAUCGGAGAAGGAUCAGCCCGCGUUGGAUUAGGUAGUUGGUGGGGUAAUGGCCUACCAAGCCGACGAUCCAUAGCUGGUUUGAGAGGAUGAUCAGCCACACUGGGACUGAGACACGGCCCAGACUCCUACGGGAGGCAGCAGUGGGGAAUCUUAGACAAUGGGGGCAACCCUGAUCGAGCCAUGCCGCGUGAGUGAUGAAGGCCUUAGGGUUGUAAAGCUCUUUCAGCUGGGAAGAUAAUGACGGUACCAGCAGAAGAAGCCCCGGCUAACUCCGUG